UACGUAGGGUGCGAGCGUUAAUCGGAAUUACUGGGCGUAAAGCGUGCGUAGGCGGUUCGCUGUGUCCGAUGUGAAAGCCCCGGGCUUAACCUGGGAAUGGCAUUGGAAACUGGCGGGCUUGAGUGUGGCAGAGGGGGGUGGAAUUCCGCGUGUAGCAGUGAAAUGCGUAGAUAUCUGGAGGAACACCGGUGGCGAAGGCGGCAUCCUGGACCAACACUGACGCUGAGUGAGCGAAAGCCAGGGGAGCAAACGGG
rnacentral:rRNA from 1 species